CUUAAAGCGUAGGGUGGAUACCUAGGCACCUAGAGUCGAUGAAGGGCGUGGAACCGACGAAACGCUUCGGGGAGCUGGAAACAAGCAUUGAUCCGGAGAUUCCCGAAUAGGGCAACCUCUUGUACUUUCUGUUGAAUUCAUAGACAGAAAAGAGGCAACUCGGUGAACUGAAACAUCUUAGUAGCCGAAGGAAAAGAAAGCAAAAGCGAUUCCCUUAGUAGUGGCGAGCGAAAUGGGAACAGCCUAAACCAGGGCUUUGAGCCCCUGGGGUCGUGGGAAAACAUUAAAAAAAACUUCUUGGACUCUGUCCAAGAUGCCUUGCAUCCUUAGAUGAAUUAGACGAAGCAGCUGAAUCCUGCACCAUAGAUGGUGAAAGUCCAGUAGUUAAAAAUUCCCUCUAAGUUGACUUGUUUAUCCCGAGUAGCAUGGGACACGUGAAAUCCCGUGUGAAUCAGCGAGGACCACCUCGUAAGGCUAAAUACUCCUAGGUGACCGAUAGCGAAAUAGUACCGUGAGGGAAAGGUGAAAAGAACCCCUGUUGGGGAGUGAAAUAGAACAUGAAAUCCUAUGCUGACAAUCAGUGGGAGGCAUCUAAAAUGCUGACCGCGUGCCUGUUGAAGAAUGAGCCGGCGACUUAGAAGAAGUGGCAAGGUUAAGGAAUAUUCUCCGGAGCCGAAGCGAAAGCAAGUCUGAAAAGGGCGUUACAAGUCACUUUUUCUAGACCCGAACCCGGGUGAUCUAACCAUGACCAGGAUGAAGCUUGGGUAACACCACGUGAAGGUCCGAACCGACCGAUGUUGAAAAAUCGGCGGAUGAGUUGUGGUUAGGGGUGAAAUACCAGUCGAACUCGGAGCUAGCUGGUUCUCCCCGAAAUGUGUUGAGGCACAGCGGUUCAGAAGGCUGUCUAGGGGUAAAGCACUGUUUCGGUGCGGGCUGCGAAAGCGGUACCAAAUCGUGGCAAACUCUGAAUACUAGAUAUUGCUAUUUCUGAGCCAGUCAGACGGUGGGGGAUAAGCUUCAUCGUCAAAAGGGAAACAGCCCAGAUCACCAGUUAAGGCCCCAAAAUGAUCGUUAAGUGGCAAAGGAGGUGAGAAUGCAGAAACAACCAGGAGGUUUGCUUAGAAGCAGCCACCCUUUAAAGAGUGCGUAAUAGCUCACUGGUGGAGCGUUCUUGCGCCGAAAAUGUCCGGGACUAAAUGAUCUGCCGAAGCUGUGGGUAUUCUCAUAGAGAAUGCGGUAGGGGAGCGUUCUGCUGUAGGGUGAAGCAUAUAUGUAAGUGUAUGUGGACGAAGCGGAAGUGAGAAUGUCGGCUUGAGUAACGCAAAUAUUGGUGAGAAUCCAAUACCCCGAAAACCUAAGGAUUCCUCCACUAGGUUCGUCCAUGGAGGGUGAGUCAGGACCUAAGGCGAGGCCGAAAGGCGUAGUCGAUGGAAAACAGGUUAAUAUUCCUGUACUACUGCAUGUUUGGUAUCGAGGGACGGAGCAGGUAGAAGUUAGUCGAGAUUUGGAACUCGGCGGAAACUUUCAAGGCGUUGAGAGGUAGAACAAAAACUAACCUUGAGCUAAGAAGUGAUACGUUUUCAUUCUUUGAAUGAAAAUUAACUGACUAUCAUACUUCCAAGAAAAGCUCGUACUACCGUUAAAUAUUGCAGUACCUGUACCGUAAACCGACACAGGUAGGUUGGUAGAGUAUACCAAGGGGCGCGAGAUAACUCUCUCUAAGGAACUCGGCAAAAUGACCCCGUAACUUCGGGAGAAGGGGUGCCAAGUAUUCAACUUGGUCGCAGUGACCAGGCCCAGGCGACUGUUUAUCAAAAACACAGGUCUCCGCAAAGUCGUAAGACAACAUAUGGGGGCUGACGCCUGCCCAGUGCCGGAAGGUUAAGGAAGUUGGUUAUUCUUCGGAAGAAGCUGACGACCGAAGCCCCGGUGAACGGCGGCCGUAACUAUAACGGUCCUAAGGUAGCGAAAUUCCUUGUCGGGUAAGUUCCGACCCGCACGAAAGGCGUAACGAUCUGGGCGCUGUCUCGGAGAGAGACUCGGUGAAAUAGACAUGUCUGUGAAGAUGCGGACUACCUGCACUUGGACAGAAAGACCCUAUGAAGCUUGACUGUAGCUUGGAAUUGGGUUCGGGCUCUUCUUGCGCAGUCUAGGUGGGAGGCGUUGAAAGUUUUCUUUCGGGAAAACUGGAGCCAUCAGUGAGAGACCACUCUGGAGGAGCUAGAAUUCUAAUGGCGUUCCUUGAAGCAGGACGCUUGACAGUUUCAGGUGGGCAGUUUGACUGGGGCGGUCACCUCCUAAAAGGUAACGGAGGUGUGCAAAGGUUCCCUCAGGCUGGACGGAAAUCAGCCGUAGAGUGUAAAGGCAGAAGGGAGCUUGACUGCAAGACCUACAAGUCGAGCAGGGGCGAAAGCCGGCCUUAGUGAUCCGACGGUUCCGUGUGGAAGGGCCGUCGCUCAACGGAUAAAAGUUACUCUAGGGAUAACAGGCUGAUCUUCCCCAAGAGUUCACAUCGACGGGAAGGUUUGGCACCUCGAUGUCGGCUCAUCGCAACCUGGGGCGGUAGUACGUCCCAAGGGUUGGGCUGUUCGCCCAUGAAAGCGGUACGUGAGCUGGGUUCAGAACGUCGUGAGACAGUUCGGUCCAUAUCCGGUGUAGGCGUUAGAGUAUUGAGGAGAGUCACCCAUAGUACGAGAGGACCUGGGUGAAUGCACCUCUAGUAUAUGAGUUAUCACGCCAGUGGUAAACGCUCAGUAGCUAUGUGCAGAGAAGAUAACCGCUGAAAGCAUCUAAGUGGGAAGCUCACUCCAAGAUGAGUACUCUCUAUUCAGGCUACUCGAAGACCACGAGUUCGAUAGGCAGAAAGUGGAAGACUAGUAAUAGUUGCAGCUGAUCUGUACUAACAAGCCGAUUGAUUUUGACCUA
rnacentral:rRNA from 1 species